rnacentral:rRNA from 1 species
UAAUACGGGGGGGGCAAGCGUUGUUCGGAAUUACUGGGCGUAAAGGGCUCGUAGGCGGCCAACUAAGUCAGACGUGAAAUCCCUCGGCUUAACCGGGGAACUGCGUCUGAUACUGGAUGGCUAGAGGUUGGGAGAGGGAUGCGGAAUUCCAGGUGUAGCGGUGAAAUGCGUAGAUAUCUGGAGGAACACCGGUGGCGAAGGCGGCAUCCUGGACCAAUUCUGACGCUGAGGAGCGAAAGCCAGGGGAGCAAACGGGAUUAGAUACCCCGGUAGUCCUGGCCCUAAACGAUGAAUGCUUGGUGUGGCGGGUAUCGAUCCCUGCCGUGCCGAAGCUAACGCAUUAAGCAUUCCGCCUGGGGAGUACGGUCGCAAGGCU